rnacentral:rRNA from 1 species
UGGGGAAUAUUGGACAAUGGGCGAAAGCCUGAUCCAGCCAUGCCGCGUGGGUGAAGAAGGCCUUCGGGUUGUAAAGCCCUUUUGUUGGGGAAGAAAUCCUGCUGGCUAAUACCCGGCGGGGAUGACGGUACCCAAAGAAUAAGCACCGGCUAACUUCGUGCCAGCAGCCGCGGUAAUACGAAGGGUGCAAGCGUUACUCGGAAUUACUGGGCGUAAAGCGUGCGUAGGUGGUGGCUUAAGUCCGUUGUGAAAGCCCUGGGCUCAACCUGGGAGGUGCGCUUGAUACUGGAUGGCUGGAGUGUGGGAGAGGAUAGUGGAAUUCCCAGUGUAGAGGUGAAAUUCGUAGAUAUUGGGAAGAACACCAGUGGCGAAGGCGGCUAUCUGGACCACAACUGACGCUGAGGCGCGAAAGCGUGGGGAGCAAACAGGAUUAGAUACCC